rnacentral:lncRNA from 1 species
UUGAUCUCAAUAAUCAAUGAAUUUACGUCAUAAUGGGAUCUGUUUUUUUGUGAAACAAGUUGGGAAGGUGGGAGCAAAGUGGAGCUUUUCUAGCACCAGGAGUAGCUGUGGGAUCCUGCAUGCUGAGAUCUCCUCCUUCUCUCUGUUUUCUCUAAAUCAAGGCUACAGUAGAACUUUGGGGCAUCAAAGAAAGUAAUUGCAGGGCAAUAAAGUGAGAGAUGGAGUCUCGCUCUGUCACCCAAGCUGGAGCGCAGUAGUGCGAUCUCUGCUGACUACAACCUCUGCCUUCUGGGUACAGCGAUUCUCCUGCCUCAGCCUUCCCGGUAGCUGGGAUUACAGGCACCCACCACCACGCCCGGCUAAUUUUUGUAUUUUUAGUAGAGACACGGUUUCACCAUGUUGGCCAAGGCUGGCCUCGAACUUCUGACCGUAGGUGAUCUACCCGCCUCGGCCUCCCAAAGGGCUGGGAUUACAGGCGUGAGCCACCGUGCCCGGCCCUACAUCUUACAAUAGAAAAAAUAAUAAUAAAAUAUUCUUGUGAAU